UUAUUGUCAUUUUAUCUUCUGGUUUCUCUAUAUCUUCAUCUCUUGUUCACUCCGUCUCUCACUUUUCUCUAAACCAAUCUUUUUAGUUUUCUAUUCUUUUUCUUCUUCAAUGGCUAAAACCCUAAAUAUUCCUCUUCAGCCCCUAGAAAGAGCUCUCGUUUCAAGGUAAAGCCUCUUCUAUUGUUCCUAUUGACUCUGAAUAUUUUGAGUAAAAUUUUCUUUCAGCCUCUAUUGGUUCUUAUGGUUCUAUACCAGGUACACGAUCUGAUGUUGUCGCUGUUUCUGAUUUCCCUAAGAAGAAGAUGAAAUUUUAUUUUGAUAGUUCUUUCAAUGACAUAUGAUUUUGGUGACCUUCUAAUGAAUCCUUGUUCUAUUCUCUAAAAUAACUUCCACUUGAAUGUGGAAGACUUGUUGAUUCAGAUUUACUUGAAUCAAUGCAUUGCCUGACUAAGCCUUUAUUUGAAGCGCAAGGAUGGACAAAUACCUUUACUUUACUCCUAAGGGUUGCUUAUGCACCCCUUAUUCGAUUGUUCUAUGAUAAUCUUUGGUUUUUCUGUGUUGGAAACUCUUAUCAUGAGUACACAUAUUUUCUUAAUUUAUGCUAUGUUUUACUCCUCUAAGUGUCCUUGGCCUUCAGAUUUUGAUGUCCUUUUUAAUCAGAAAAAUGAUUCAUUAUUGUGGAAUCUUAUGAUAACUUGCCUGUGCUCUUGGGCCUAAAAAUCUAUCAUUUGAGACCCCCAGUUGUUGCUCAUAUUAUGGCUACCACCCUCCUCCUUCGUGGAAGUUCUUUCUCUACUCUCUUUUAACGUUAAACUUUGUUAACCUGCUAUCUCUUAUCACGGCGGAAGAUCAAACUUUCCUUCUUUGAUAUUAACUACUCCCUCCGUUUGAAAAAUGAAUGACCUACUUUUCUUUUUAGUUCAUUUAAAAAGAAAUGAUUGCUUUCUCUUUUUUGACAGUACUUUAAUUUCAACUUUCCAUAUAGCAUGUUUAGGACCACAAGAUUAAAUGACAUUUUGGUACAUUUAACACAACUAUAAUUUAAGGCCACAUUCUUUAUUUUCUUAAAUUUUGUGUCAAGUCAAAAUAGGUUAUUCUUGAGGUAGUGUAUGAUUGAAGCUUUUUUGAAUUCUUCUCAUCUCCUAUAUGGUUUAGUUAUCACUCGUAUACUUGAAGCCUACCAUAUCCCUCUGGAAGAUGUUUACUCCGUUCUUGUCAAGCAGUGGUACAACUCUACAACUUUUAAAAGCAUAAUAUGUUUUGACUGAUAGGGUUUGUGCUCUCAAGACUGAAAGUUGUGGUCCUAGCACUCUCUCUUCUCCUAAGUCAAGAAACUUCUCUUCUCUUAAUCUUAAUUCAUUUUCUGUUCCCUGAGAUGUUUCUGAUCGUUUGAAUAACAUUGAUGCAAGACUAAAUGGUCUCACAGAUCUUGUUCUUGGCACUCAUUUUCAGAUGGAGAAAAUUUGGGAGUCUCAAAGAAAACUAGUGCUGACGUUGGUUUCAUGCAUAUCAAAUUGAAUCAAGUAAUUCAUGAGGCCAUUAAACUUGCUACUAAGAUUCGCCCUAGUACUGAUGCUAUCUCCACUGUGAUUACUACUCAGUUCACAAACCUGAAGGAUGCCACAAUAAAAAACUAGGCUUAUUUUCUUUGUCUCGGAGAAUGCUAAAUCCCCUCUACAUGUUUCUUAUUCCCGACCCUUGUGUUGCUCGUUUAAGAUAACUUUUUUGGUUUUGGUCCUGUAAUUAAGCAUAAGCUCACUGUUGCUACGUUACUUGCAUGUUUUGCUAGUUGUUCUCUAUUUAUUUUGCAUACUCUGUUAUUCUUCCUUUCUGAUAGAUGUCAAAGGAGAAAAAAUAGAAAACUUAUUUACAGGUAUAAACACAAGUCGAAUAGUUCGGCUAUCUAGGGGGGACUACUCAGGGGGGAGUUAAAAUGGGGGAAGUGGCUACACC
rnacentral:lncRNA from 1 species